rnacentral:rRNA from 1 species
ACGUAGGGUGCAAGCGUUAUUCGGAAUUAUUGGGCGUAAAGCGCAUGUAGGCGGCUUGGUAAGUCUGUUGUGAAAGCCCCGGACUCAAUUCGGGAAGUGCAUCGGAUACUGCCAGGCUAGAGUAUAAGAGGGGAGAGCGGAAUUCCUGGUGUAGAGGUGAAAUUCGUAGAUAUCAGGAGGAACAACAGUGGCGAAGGCGGCUCUCUGGAUUAUUACUGACGCUCAGAUGCGAAAGCGUGGGGAGCAAACAG